rnacentral:rRNA from 1 species
UACGUAGGUGGCAAGCGUUGUCCGGAUUUACUGGGCGUAAAGAGCGCGCAGGCGGUCGUGCAAGUCGCGUGUGAAAGCCCCCGGCUCAACUGGGGAGGGUCACGCGAUACUGCUCGACUUGAAGGCAGGAGAGGGAAGUGGAAUUCCCGGUGCAGUGGUGAAAUGCGUAGAGAUCAGGAGGAACACCGGUGGCGAAGGCGGCCUACUGGGCCAGCACUGACGCUGAGGCGCGAAAGCUCGGGGAGCGAACGGG